GCGAACAGGAUUAGAUACCCUGGUAGUCCACGCCGUAAACGGUGGAUGCUGGAUGUGGGGACCAUUCCACGGUCUCCGUGUCGGAGCCAACGCGUUAAGCAUCCCGCCUGGGGAGUACGGCCGCAAGGCUAAAACUCAAAGAAAUUGACGGGGGCCCGCACAAGCGGCGGAGCAUGCGGAUUAAUUCGAUGCAACGCGAAGAACCUUACCUGGGCUUGACAUGUUCCCGACGGUCGUAGAGAUACGGCUUCCCUUCGGGGCGGGUUCACAGGUGGUGCAUGGUCGUCGUCAGCUCGUGUCGUGAGAUGUUGGGUUAAGUCCCGCAACGAGCGCAACCCUCGCCCUGUGUUGCCAGCACGUCGUGGUGGGAACUCACGGGGGACCGCCGGGGUCAACUCGGAGGAAGGUGGGGAUGACGUCAGAUCAUCAUGCCCCUUACGUCCAGGGCUUCACGCAUGCUACAAUGGCCGGUACAACGGGAUGCGACGCGGCGACGCGGAGCGGAUCCCUGAAAACCGGUCUCAGUUCGGAUCGCAGUCUGCAACUCGACUGCGUGAAGGCGGAGUCGCUAGUAAUCGCGAAUCAGCAACGUCGCGGUGAAUGCGUUCCCGGGCCUUGUACACACCGCCCGUCAAGUCAUGAAAGUGGGCAGCACCCGAAGCCGGUGGCCUAACCCCUUGUGGGAUGGAGCCGUCUAAGGUGAGGCUCGUGAUUGGGACUAAGUCGUAACAAGGUAGCCGUACCG
rnacentral:rRNA from 1 species